GAAAUGCGAUAAGUAAUGUGAAUUGCAGAAUUCAGUGAAUCAUCGAAUCUUUGAACGCACCUUGCGCUCCUUGGUAUUCCGAGGAGCAUGCCUGUUUGAGUGUCAUGAAAUUCUCAACCUAACGGGUUCUUAACGGGACUUGCUUAGGCUUGGACUUGGAGGUUCUUGUCGGCUUGCUUCAAUGUCAAGUCGGCUCCUCUUAAAUGCAUUAGCUUGGUUCCUGUGCGGAUCGGCUCACGGUGUGAUAAUUGUCUACGCCGCGACCGUUGAAGCGUUUUAUAGGCCAGCUUCUAGUCGUCUCUUUACGAGACAAUAAUCAUCGAACUCUGACCUCAAAUCAGGUAGGACUACCCGCUGAACUUAA
rnacentral:rRNA from 1 species